CGUAAUGGGGAGCCAUGAGUAUAGGGUGUCUCGAGUGGAGUGCGAACAGCUGAGCGGUGUGAUUUCAGAGGCUGUGCUACCCUGUCACCACUGUGAUUGGGGCGGACAGGAGGUGUAGGAGAGGCCCUGGUUUGUAAAGGACACCAACAGGUGGGAGGCCGCUCUGCAGGGGGAGUAGCACAGAUAGAAAAGGCCGGGUGGAGAGGCCUGUGCUGGACACAAUCCAGGAGAUGGCCAGUGAGGAUGAUAUGCCAGGAGGCUGGUGGAGCUUGGAGGAAAAAAGAACCUGAGAGAAGCUAAAAUAAAUGCCACAAGGGAAGACGUUUUCAAGCCACAAUAUCUAAAGGUAAGAGCUGUUGUAUAUUGAUGGGACCACUUACCUUAAAAAGAGCUAAGCAGAACGAAGACGCACGCCUUGCUGUGGCUGGUCAAAUGGAACCAAGUCGGGAGACUUACUGAGGUUUGGUCCCCUUCAACCAGCUACUGCACCGUGAAUUGAACCAGCAGGAAGCCAAAACUGAGCAAGAUGGGCUGGUGUCAUCUGUCCUGUUUCCAGUUAAAGCAAAAUCAAAUCAUAGGAAGAAUAUGGAAUUUUUCAGAUAUUUUGAAUGUCUCAAAAGCUAUUCUUUUUUUUUUUUAACUUUGCUUUAAAGUUAAUGGUAUUUCUGGCAAAUAUGUAGAGAAAUAUAUAAAUAAAUUAAUAAAAUGAAUAAAUUAUAAUUAAAUAUGUAUUAACUAAUAAAAAAUAGUACACAAAGGUAAAUAUGUGAAUAGAAUAAUUGUUUUCUUAUGUUAGUUGUUUAUUAGUAUUUAAAUAUUUCUGAUUGUAUGAAGGUAGAUCAUUUAAAGCAAUAAGUACAAACACACACAUAGAGAUCUGAUGCCAUAUUGUAAAAUAGUGUUUGUCUAGCCUGUAAGCGAUCUAUCAAAUAUUUAAAUCAACGAGAGCUAUGUAUUUUUUGUAGCCCGGUUAUAUCCGGUUAGGAUCCCAGAUGUUGGAUCAUGAGGUUGUAGCCAAUCAGAAUGUAAUUGCUGGAUAGGCCCUGUAGCAUCCCGGUGUCAUCCAGAAUCUCUUUCCAUGACAGGGGUGUAAAAGUCAGAAAAAUGACAUAGCUUCACACGUUCAUAGGAUCAAUAUUGUCUUAUGUACAAAAUAUAGUGAAAUUUUUAACACACAAAAGGGCUAAUAGUAAUAAAAAUGAUGGCAGUUAUAUUGGGGUUCUUGGCCUUAAGGCUUAAAUUACAAUAAAUGGGAGUUUCUGUUCUUUUGUUGUUACAACUGAAACUGUGUGUGGAUAGAGGUAAAGGUUUUAUAGACUAGGAAAAUGAAUGUAAAAAGAAUUUUGUUGAAGGAGAAUACAAACAGAUAAGAAAGAUGUAUCAUUUGUUUAAGAAAACAAGGUUAAAGGUAAGAGGGAAUUCAAUGGUUAUGUUUAUACUGAACAUGUGCUUAAGACGCCCCAUGUGGAUAUAUAGCAGGUAAAUGAUAUUGCAUUUCAUUUUAGUUACUUGUAUUUUUUUUAUAUAAUAUAAAUAUUUGGACAAUGAACAUAUAUUAAUACCAAAGUAAACAUUUAACACUUUACAACUGAAUCAGAGGUCCGACAGGCUGUUUUUAGAACAGCAAUAAUAAAUUCUUUCAUAUUCAUAUGAACAUGUUUUGCAGCAUUCCUUCUAAAUAAAGUUAAAGUUUUUGAAUAUUUAAAUAAGAUAUAAUUGUCAUUGUGUUAUUGAGAUAAGGUUGGAUUGUUCCUAUUAAGAAAGAUAAGAUGAUGUAGAACAUGAUGAUCACUGAUGAUUAAUUGUUGCAUAUGUUUAUCCCAUGUUAUUCAAGAUACUGUUAUUAUGGGAUCAGAAGCAAGUGUGAGCCAAGCAUUAUCUGACAUAUGAGCAGAUGUUCUUCCGGAAAAUUUUGACCAAACAAGCUCAGUGCAACAUUUAUCAUAUAUGAUGCAUCCAUCCAUUAUCCAACCCGCUAUAUCUGAACUACAGUGUCAUGGGGGGUCUGCUGGA